rnacentral:ncRNA from 15 species
GGGCGUGUAGCUCAGUGGUAGAGCGCCCUGUUUUGCAUACGGAGGCCUAGGGUUCAAACCCCUACUCGUCCA